UUAGGAUUUAGUUGUUGCGCCCAGAGAUUGAGUUACCGUCGUUUCUGAACUAAGUUUGUGUUGCGUUUUCCUUCAUGUGGUGGCUUGUUUGGGUUCAAAAGAGAAAGUCAUUAUAAGUUCAAAGCAACUGUUUUUACAUGGCCGUGCGUUAUCAUAGUGCACACUUGUGACCUUUAUCCUUAGGUCUAAAAGUUUUUUCCUUGAACACAAAAUUGUCCAAAGACUAUUUCUCUUUUUAGUGUGAUUAUGAAAGUUCAUUGUAUUUCUUAUUAUGCAGCCUUUACUUACUAUUCUGAUGAGUGGGCACAUUCUAUUCUAGAUUCUAACUUUAUUAUAUCUUUCUAGCAACUAAGUCCAUCUCUAAAAACUUCCUUCCUAAAAUUAUUUGAAUCAAAUCAGGAAUUCUAUAGAAUUAUUAUCUAUUUGUCUAUAUAGCACCACUACAAGAUAUCUUCAUUGUUCUGUAAAGAUCUGCUCAAAGGGGUGGGCUAAUACUUAGUGAUAGUUAUAUAUUUAAUAAUAAUAGGAGAAGCAUAUUAGUAGCAGGAGUCCUUCCUAAAAUGAAUUUCUCAUGAGCCUUGCCUAUCAGAGCAAAUCUGUUGUGGAUUCUAAUCCAAGUUGGACUCAUCUCAGGAAAAUCACCUGUUAGUUAUUAGCUUCUCCUAUGAUGGCUCUUGACAAACAAACCAGAAUAGGGCAAAAACAAACAGAAGAAAAAGAGCCAAAGAAAAAACACAAGAAACACAUUUAGACACAAAGACACACAUGUUCACACUCACAGAACUCCUAUAAAACACAACACUGGAAACCAUCAUAUAUAUGAAAAAGACAUGUAAGGAAGUCUAGACAAAGCAUUAUGAGACCAGGAACCUCCAAAAAUACCAAUAAGUUUGUUUUAUGUUGGCCAUCUGCUGCUGGGACUUCCCUUAAGUGCAGUUUGUGUACCUAAUGGGACUCCAUUAGAGAAAACUAAUUUUUCCUUUGUGAACAGUUAGCUUCUGGGUUAGGAAUGAGGUUUGUGUCCAUUCUCUCGGCAUUGGGGUCUCAUCUGUGUCUGACCCAUCAGGACCCUAUACCACAUCCUCUGUGAGUCAGAAGA
rnacentral:lncRNA from 1 species